rnacentral:rRNA from 1 species
ACGCUCGACACCUACGUGAGGCAGCAGUGAGGGAUAUUGGUCAAUGGGGGAAACCCUGAACCAGCAACGCCGCGUGAGGGAUGACGGUCUUCGGAUUGUAAACCUCUGUCCUCUGUGAAGAUAAUGACGGUAGCAGAGGAGGAAGCUCCGGCUAACUACGUGCCAGCAGCCGACGGUAAUCUGGAGGCGGGCGUGGGACCGAAAGGGCC